rnacentral:tRNA from 1 species
UUAAUCGAAGCCAAAAUAGAGGCUUUCCAUUGUUAAUGGAAUCAUUGGUUUAUAGUUUAACCCGAUUAAA